AGAUGUUGAGUGACAUUUAUAUUCACAGAUUAUGGAAUGAAAUGGACUUUGAUAAGCAGCUUUCCAACAUGUGUAUGCUUUUUACUUUCCAAUCAUUCCGGAAGUUGAUCCUUCAAGAAGGAGAAAAAUUGGUCCUGGUUUGGUUGGAUACACCAUACAAUCAAGCUGUGUAUGGACUUGUUGACAAAUUAGGGAGCUUAGUUGUGAGGAUGGUGUUUCUUCCUUUUGAAGAAAGUUCUUAUGCUACAUUUGCCAGGUCCACAUCAGGAGAAUACCUUCAGAAAA